UAACAGUCCAAAAACCCUAAAAUCAGCUACUUUGGAACACUCGGAAUCGGGAUCGAUCACAAUUGAUUCUGAUCUGAAUCGGCUAUGUAGAUCCUGAAUUCCUGAUCAAGACCCGAAUCCAGUUUCUUAAGUCUGUAUUAAAAGACAAAAUAGCCCCAGAAAGGGUAGAUGGCUUCCUGGAAGAUUCAAACAUGUCUUACAGAUGGGAGAGUGGUGCAGCGACAGCAAAAGCAAGUGGGAAUGAGGAGAUAAAAAACAGAUGGAUAGGAUUGUUGACUUGGAAAACGAGUGGAUUAAUUUCCUCUUGUAAUUUUAAAAAUCUCAAGUGGGUUACCACUUACCACGAUAUGGGAAGAGAGACGAGAAGAGAAGAUUACUGUGUGAUUUAAGUCGGCAAAGGUGGUUGAGAGGUAGAUUGUUUGAUUGUGGGUCUAAGAGGAUUGAUGAGAGAUAGACUGAAGAGUCCCAUAACCUGUUGUGGUUGUUGGGUCAAGUCUCAUGAAAUUACAUUUCACCAUGGACAUUUCUAAUUACUAUUUUCAGCUAAGGAGACUGGUGACAUCUGAUCAACUGUGUAAUCUUAGAAUCCAAUUCUCUAUGGAAUUGUAAGAGUCAAA